CAUAGAGUAUGGAAUCCCACAGUUAUUUACUUUUUGCGUGAGGAGCCCGAUAGUAGAGAUGAGCGAGUACAGCAUUAUCUGUAUCUGUAUCUGUUGAACCAUAUGAAUUAUCUGUAUCCGUAUCUGUACUCGGAUUGGGCGGGGCCUAACCCGAACGUGGGCGGGGCUUAACCCGGAAGUAUGAAGGAUUUAACCCGUAAGUUGUCGGGUUGUCUUGAAAUGGGCUGGGCUUUAACCGUUAUGCUCUUUUUUAAGCAUGCAACUGACCCUUCGAAGGGAGCUUGAUUAACAGGAGGGCCCCAGAUCUGCCAAAGUGAAGUUACAGAACGAAGGAGCCUGGGAAAGAUGUCGGUGAAUAUUUUUCGUUAUGGCUACAAAAAGAAAGCAAAGCCACAAAAACAUCUAAAAGGUGCUGUCUGUGGAGUCGAUGGCUGUCACAUUGCUGAUAAUCAUGAUCAUAAUCACCAUCCUUAUGUGUGCUUUUGCAAUUCAGGUUACCAGCACAACUACCGAUUUUGUUCCUGCGAAGAUAAUGGCCCUUCAGAAGAAUAUCAGCGAGAACAGCGACUUGCAUUUAACCUGCAGCACAUAUACGUUCAAGAAUAACA